rnacentral:tRNA from 1 species
ACCUGCAGAAGUUCUUUGAAUAUGAUAUUGAAGCUAUCAAGGAGGCCAAUAACCCGCAGGUG